CAGUCGUACCUUCGGGUAAUCAGCCUUUCGGGUGCGAUUCUGUGGAGUGUGAGGAGUUAAACACCUUCAUGUUUUGCAUAUUCGUACUCUUGGGUGUACUUGCCCGUGUGGUUGGUUAACAUCAAUUUUGGUGGUCAUAAAAUGACUGGAGGAAUGUAGCUUCGAUCUCGUAUUGAAAUGUUAUAGCCUUCGGUAGAUGUGAUGAUCGAGAUUGAGGAUUGCAACGGAUACCCUUCGGGGCUACCUGUCUGAUCUCUGAUCGUUGCUCUGGUGCCGAAAGCUUGCUUACGGUUAUCAAAGUCGAUGGUCAAUAGGUUAGAACGGGUUAAA
rnacentral:rRNA from 1 species